UACGGAGGAUCCAAGCGUUAUCCGGAUUUAUUGGGUUUAAAGGGUGCGUAGGCGGCCUAUUAAGUCAGGGGUGAAAGACGGUAGCUUAACUAUCGCAGUGCCUUUGAUACUGAUAGGCUUGAAUGUACUUGAGGUAGGCGGAAUGUGACAAGUAGCGGUGAAAUGCAUAGAUAUGUCACAGAACACCAAUUGCGAAGGCAGCUUACUAAAGUAUGAUUGACGCUGAGGCACGAAAGCGUGGGGGAUCAAAACAGG
rnacentral:rRNA from 1 species